CUCCAGAUGUUGCUGAACUACAACUCCAAUGAUUCUCAGCCUAUCUAUUUCAUUCAUAGAAUCAUUGGAGUUGUAGUUCAGCAACAUCUGGAG